UACGUAGGGUGCAAGCGUUGUCCGGAAUUACUGGGCGUAAAGAGUUCGUAGGCGGUUUGUCGCGUCGUUUGUGAAAACCAGCAGCUCAACUGCUGGCUUGCAGGCGAUACGGGCAGACUUGAGUACUGCAGGGGAGACUGGAAUUCCUGGUGGUAGCGGUGAAAUGCGCAGAUAUCAGGAGGAACACCCGUAGCGAAGGCGGCACUCUGGGCCGAAUACUGACACUGAGGGAGCGAAAGCGUGGGGAGCGAACAGGA
rnacentral:rRNA from 1 species